rnacentral:rRNA from 1 species
AAUUUGGAAUCUAAAGAAACUGCCGAUUAUAAAUCGGAGGAAGGUAAGGACGACGUCAAGUCAUCAUGCCCCUUACACCCUGGGCUACACACGUGCUACAUUGGACAAAACAAAAAGAUGCAAAUCUGCGAAGACUAGCAAAUCUCUAAAUUUGUUCUAAGUUCGGAUUGUAGGCUGCAACUCGCCUACAUAAAGAUGGAAUCGCUAGUAAUCGCUGGUCAGCAACACAGCGGUGAAUUCGUUCCCGGGCCUUGUACACACCGCCCGUCACACCAUGGAAGCUGGUUAUACCCGACGUCGUUAUUCUAACCUAUUUUGGAGGAAAGCGCCUAAGGUAGGGCUAGUGACUGGGGUGAAGUCGUAACAAGGUAGCCGUACCGAAGGUGCGGCUGGAUAACCUCCU